rnacentral:rRNA from 1 species
UACGUAGGGGGCAAGCGUUGUCCGGAAUUAUUGGGCGUAAAGAGCGCGUAGGCGGUCCGGUAAGUCAGCUGUGAAAGUCAAGGGCUCAACCCUUGAAAGCCGGUUGAUACUGUCGGGCUAGAGUCCGGAAGAGGCGAGUGGAAUUCCCGGUGUAGCGGUGAAAUGCGCAGAUAUCAGGAGGAACACCGGUGGCGAAGGCGGGUCUCUGGGCCGAUACUGACGCUGAGGAGCGAAAGCGUGGGGAGCGAACAGG